rnacentral:rRNA from 1 species
CCUACGGGAGGCAGCAGUGGGGAAUAUUGCACAAUGGGCGAAAGCCUGAUGCAGCAACGCCGCGUGAGAGAUGAAGGCCUUCGGGUCGUAAAGCUCUGUCCUCAAGGAAGAGAAUGACGGUACUUGAGGAGGAAGCCCCGGCGAACGACGUGCCAGCAGCCGCGGUAAUACGUAGGGGGCUAGCGUUAUCCGGAAUUACUGGGCGUAAAGGGUGCGUAGGUGGUUUCUUAAGUCAGAGGUGAAAGGCUACGGCUCAACCGUAGUAAGCCUUUUCAACUGGGAAACUUGAGUGCAGGAGAGGUGAGUGGCAUUCCUCUUGUAGCGGUGACCUGCGUAGAUAUUAGGAG